rnacentral:rRNA from 1 species
UGCUUAACACAUGCAAGUCGAACGCUGAAGCUUGGUGCUUGCACUGGGUGGAUGAGUGGCGAACGGGUGAGUAAUACGUGAGUAACCUGCCCUUGACUCUGGGAUAAGCCUGGGAAACUGGGUCUAAUACUGGAUACGACAUGUCACCGCAUGGUGGUGUGUGGAAAGGGUUUUACUGGUUUUGGAUGGGCUCACGGCCUAUCAGCUUGUUGGUGGGGUAAUGGCUCACCAAGGCGACGACGGGUAGCCGGCCUGAGAGGGUGACCGGCCACACUGGGACUGAGACACGGCCCAGACUCCUACGGGAGGCAGCAGUGGGGAAUAUUGCACAAUGGGCGGAAGCCUGAUGCAGCGACGCCGCGUGAGGGAUGACGGCCUUCGGGUUGUAAACCUCUUUCAGCACGGAAGAAGCGAAAGUGACGGUACGUGCAGAAGAAGCGCCGGCUAACUACGUGCCAGCAGCCGCGGUAAUACGUAGGGCGCAAGCGUUGUCCGGAAUUAUUGGGCGUAAAGAGCUCGUAGGCGGUUUGUCGCGUCUGCUGUGAAAGCCCGGGGCUUAACCCCGGGUGUGCAGUGGGUACGGGCAGACUUGAGUGCAGUAGGGGAGACUGGAAUUCCUGGUGUAGCGGUGAAAUGCGCAGAUAUCAGGAGGAACACCGAUGGCGAAGGCAGGUCUCUGGGCUGUUACUGACGCUGAGGAGCGAAAGCAUGGGGAGCGAACAGGAUUAGAUACCCUGGUAGUCCAUGCCGUAAACGUUGGGCACUAGGUGUGGGGAACAUUCCACGUUUUCCGCGCCGUAGCUAACGCAUUAAGUGCCCC